rnacentral:rRNA from 1 species
UACGAACCGUGCGAAUGUUGUUCGGAAUCACUGGGCUUAAAGGGAGCGUAGGCGGGCUAUCAAGUCUGGGGUGAAAUGCCACGGCUCAACCGUGGAACUGCCUUAGAUACUGACGGCCUCGAGGGAGAUAGGGGCAUGCGGAACUGUAGGUGGAGCGGUGAAAUGCGUUGAUAUCUACAGGAACUCCGGUGGCGAAAGCGGCGUGCUGGAUCUCUUCUGACGCUGAGGCUCGAAAGCUAGGGGAGCAAACGGG